UACGUAGGGUGCAAGCGUUAAUCGGAAUUACUGGGCGUAAAGCGUGCGCAGGCGGUUGUGCAAGACCGAUGUGAAAUCCCCGGGUUCAACCUGGGAAUGGCAUUGGUGACUGCACGGCUAGAGUGUGUCAGAGGGGGGUAGAAUUCCACGUGUAGCAGUGAAAUGCGUAGAGAUGUGGAGGAAUACCGAUGGCGAAGGCAGCCCCCUGGGAUAACACUGACGCUCAUGCACGAAAGCCAGGGGAGCGAACGGG
rnacentral:rRNA from 1 species